AGAGAGUGUCGCCAUGGUUCGUAGUGGGAAGUCUUCAUAAACUUUGUAAUGGAUAGCCAGCUAAAGUUAGCCAGUAGCUUCGGCAGGGACUUAUGCUUGAGAGUUCACGGUCACUGAAUAUUUGCCCAUUGCCAUCAACCCAUACACUCAGUGUGCAGGGAUAACGGAGGGAGUACUUUACUUUAAGCUUCCGAAAUCUCCGUUUAACUAGAUGGAAGGACCGACAUCUCUUCGUCAGGCCUACAUUGUGGUUAACUAAAUGUGACACUGCUUCCUAAUGGACACAUAUGUUAUACCCCCCAUCCAGACAGGCAGGGUCAUUGAGGAGUAAUAGGAUUGCUCGGCCCCGCUCCCUCUCUCGACACCCUGGCAAAGACAGGCCUCCUAAAUCAUCCUCACAUCUCUGAGCAAGAUGGAGGACCUGGCAUCGUCUCUCCCCGCCCUCCAUCCCUGCUGCAGCCAUAACCACUCUCCCCACUGUGGUACAGAUACUGCUCGCAGCCGUGAUUUCCCUCAAACCUCCAGGAGGACUGGAAUAAUAUCUACUCAGCAUUCUGUAAAUAUCCACUGGGAGAAUGUACUCGGGUUCAUUGCAGCUGUGCCACAGUUACUGCAUAUGGGCUCGGCUGCUGAUCCUCAACUUCUGCUCUUUGUUCUUGAACUUUUCAUCUUAUGACUCCUAAAAAGGAAGCGAUGUGUUAGGUGAAGGAGCCUACUCAGCUAAUAUUAUUCAUUAUUCAUUUUCUUAUUCCUAUUCAGGGUCAUGGAGGGCUGGAGCCACUAUACCUGAUCUUUACACAUGACACUCUUGUGCAGAUGGAUAAAAAAAAAGUCCCCAGACAACAAAGUGUUCAUGAGCAGUUGAUAAUAACCUGCCGUAGGAUUCUGACUAAUAUAAGAAGACACACUUGGAGUCCAUCCUUCCCAAAGCAGAUGAAAUAGCUUUAGUGAGACCAGGAGAAGAGGAGGCCAGAGAGGCAG